rnacentral:rRNA from 1 species
CCUACGGGUGGCAGCAGUGAGGAAUAUUGGUCAAUGGACGAGAGUCUGAACCAGCCAAGUAGCGUGAAGGAUGACUGCCCUAUGGGUUGUAAACUUCUUUUAUAUGGGAAUAAAAUGUUCCACGUGUGGGAUUUUGUAUGUACCAUAUGAAUAAGGAUCGGCUAACUCCGUGCCAGCAGCCGCGGUAAUACGGAGGAUCCGAGCGUUAUCCGGAUUUAUUGGGUUUAAAGGGAGCGUAGGUGGAUUGUUAAGUCAGGUGUGAAAGUUUGCGGCUCAACCGUAAAAUUGCAGUUGAAACUGGCAGUCUUGAGUACAGUAGAGGUGGGCGGAAUUCGUGGUGUAGCGGUGAAAUGCUGAGAUAUCACGAAGAACUCCGAUUGCGAAGGCAGUUCACUGGACUGCAACUGACACUGAGGCUCGAAAGUGUGGGUAUCAAACAGGAUUAGAUACCCUUGUAGUC